CCCGCAACGAGCGCAACCCUUAUCCUUUGUUGCCAGCGAUUAGGUCGGGAACUCAAAGGAGACUGCCAGUGAUAAACUGGAGGAAGGUGGGGAUGACGUCAAGUCAUCAUGGCCCUUACGACCAGGGCUACACACGUGCUACAAUGGCGCAUACAAAGAGAAGCGACCUCGCGAGAGCAAGCGGACCUCAUAAAGUGCGUCGUAGUCCGGAUUGGAGUCUGCAACUCGACUCCAUGAAGUCGGAAUCGCUAGUAAUCGUGGAUCAGAAUGCCACGGUGAAUACGUUCCCGGGCCUUGUACACACCGCCCGUCACACCAUGGGAGUGGGUUGCAAAAGAAGUAGGUAGCUUAACCUUCGGGAGGGCGCUUACCACUUUGUGAUUCAUGACUGGGGUGAAGUCGUAACAAGGUAACCGUAGGGGAACCUGC
rnacentral:rRNA from 3 species